UGGGGAAUUUUGCGCAAUGGGCGAAAGCCUGACGCAGCAACGCCGCGUGCGGGAUGAAGGCUCUCGGGUCGUAAACCGCUUUCAGCAGGGAUGAAAUUGACAGUACCUGCAGAAGAAGCCCCGGCUAAAUACGUGCCAGCAGCCGCGGUAAUACGUAUGGGGCAAGCGUUAUCCGGAUUCAUUGGGCGUAAAGAGCGCGUAGGCGGAUUGUUAAGUCAGAUGUGAAAACUGGGGGCUCAACCCGCAGCCUGCAUCUGAAACUGGCAGUCUUGAGUCUGGUAGAGGAGUGUGGAAUUCCCAGUGUAGCGGUGAAAUGCGCAGAUAUUGGGAGGAACACCAGUGGCGAAGGCGGCACUCUGGGCCACGACUGACGCUGAGGCGCGAAAGCUAGGGGAGCAAACA
rnacentral:rRNA from 1 species